rnacentral:rRNA from 1 species
UGGGGAAUCUUGCGCAAUGGACGAAAGUCUGACGCAGCGACGCCGCGUGGGGGAUGACGGGUUUCGGCUUGUAAACCCCUGUUGCCCGGGACGAACUUCUGGUUUCGACCAGAUUGACGGUACCGGGUGAGGAAGCACCGGCUAACUCCGUGCCAGCAGCCGCGGUAAUACGGAGGGUGCGAGCGUUGUCCGGAAUCACUGGGCGUAAAGGGCGCGUAGGUGGCGGAGCAAGUCAACGGUGAAAGCUCGACGCUCAACGUCGAGUCGGCCGUCGAGACUGCUUUGCUGGAGCACUGUAGAGGCUCAUGGAAUUCCGGGUGUAGCGGUGGAAUGCGUAGAGAUCCGGAAGAACACCGGUGGCGAAGGCGGUGAGCUGGGCAGUUGCUGACACUGAGGCGCGACAGCGUGGGGAGCAAACAGGAUUAGAUACCCCUGUAGUCC